rnacentral:rRNA from 1 species
UGAGUAACACGUAUCCAACCUACCGAUAACUCGGGGAUAGCCUUUCGAAAGAAAGAUUAAUAUCCGAUGGUAUAUUAAAACCGCAUGGUUUUACUAUUAAAGAAUUUCGGUUAUCGAUGGGGAUGCGUUCCAUUAGUUUGUUGGCGGGGUAACGGCCCACCAAGACUACGAUGGAUAGGGGUUCUGAGAGGAAGGUCCCCCACAUUGGAACUGAGACACGGUCCAAACUCCUACGGGAGGCAGCAGUGAGGAAUAUUGGUCAAUGGACGAGAGUCUGAACCAGCCAAGUAGCGUGAAGGAUGACUGCCCUAUGGGUUGUAAACUUCUUUUAUAUGGGAAUAAAGUAUUCCACGUGUGGAAUUUUGUAUGUACCAUAUGAAUAAGGAUCGGCUAACUCCGUGCCAGCAGCCGCGGUAAUACGGAGGAUCCGAGCGUUAUCCGGAUUUAUUGGGUUUAAAGGGAGCGUAGGUGGAUUGUUAAGUCAGUUGUGAAAGUUUGCGGCUCAACCGUAAAAUUGCAGUUGAAACUGGCAGUCUUGAGUACAGUAGAGGUGGGCGGAAUUCGUGGUGUAGCGGUGAAAUGCUUA